rnacentral:rRNA from 1 species
AAACAAUCCAGACCGCCAGCUAAGGCCCCAAAAUCAUAGUUAAGUGGGAAACGAUGUGGGAAGGCAUAGACAGCUAGGAGGUUGGCUUAGAAGCAGCCAUCCUUUAAAGAAAGCGUAAUAGCUCACUAGUCGAGUCGGCCUGCGCGGAAGAUGUAACGGGGCUAAAACUAUGUGCCGAAGCUGCGGAUGCACAUUUAUGUGCGUGGUAGGGGAGCGUUGUGUAAGCCUGUGAAGGUGUGUUGAGAAGCAUGCUGGAGGUAUCACAAGUGCGAAUGCUGACGUGAGUAACGAUAAAGGGAGUGAAAAACUCCCUCGCCGAAAGACCAAGGGUUCCAGUCCAACGUUAAUCGGGGCUGGGUGAGUCGGUCCCUAAGGUGAGGCAGAAAUGCGUAAUCGAUGGGAAAUUGGUUAAUAUUCCAAUACUUCUGUAUCAUGCGAUGAGGGGACGGAGAAGGUUAAGUCAGCCUGGCGUUGGUUGUCCAGGUGGAAGACGGUAGGCAUGCAUCCUAGGCAAAUCCGGGGUGCUCUAUGCUGAGAGUCGAUAGCAAGCGGUACUUGUACCGCGAAGUGGCUGAUACCAUGCUUCCAGGAAAAGCCUCUAAGCUUCAGUGAUACAGGAACCGUACCCGAAACCGACACAGGUGGUCAGGUCGAGUAGACCAAGGCGCUUGAGAGAACUCUGCUGAAGGAACUAGGCAAAAUAGUACCGUAACUUCGGGAGAAGGUACGCUGCUGUUGGUGCGAGAAUUUACUUCUCAAGCUGAUGGCAGCCUCAGUAACCAGGCCGCUGCAACUGUUUAUUAAAAACAUAGCACUCUGCAAACACGAAAGUGGACGUAUAGGGUGUGAUGCCUGCCCGGUGCUGGAAGGUUAAUUGAUGGGGUUAGCGUAAGCGAAGCUCUUGAUCGAAGCCCCAGUAAACGGCGGCCGUAACUAUAACGGUCCUAAGGUAGCGAAAUUCCUUGUCGGGUAAGUUCCGACCUGCACGAAUGGCAUAAUGAUGGCGGCGCUGUCUCCAGCAGAGACUCAGUGAAAUCGAAAUCGCGGUGAAGAUGCCGUGUACCCGUGGCUAGACGGAAAGACCCCGUGAACCUUUACUGCAGCUUGACAUUGAACUUUGACCUUACUUGUGUAGGAUAGGUGGGAGGCUAUGAAGUUGGGACGCCAGUUCCAAUGGAGCCAUCCUUGAAAUACCACCCUGGUAAUGUUGAGGUUCUAACCAUGACCCGUUAUCCGGGUCUGGGACCAUGUCUGGUGGGUAGUUUGACUGGGGCGGUCUCCUCCUAAAGAGUAACGGAGGAGUACGAAGGUGCGCUCAGCGUGGUCGGAAAUCACGCGUAGAGUAUAAAGGCAAAAGCGCGCUUAACUGCGAGACCCACAAGUCGAGCAGGUACGAAAGUAGGUCUUAGUGAUCCGGUGGUUCUGUAUGGAAGGGCCAUCGCUCAACGGAUAAAAGGUACUCUGGGGAUAACAGGCUGAUACCGCCCAAGAGUUCAUAUCGACGGCGGUGUUUGGCACCUCGAUGUCGGCUCAUCUCAUCCUGGGGCUGAAGCAGGUCCCAAGGGUAUGGCUGUUCGCCAUUUAAAGAGGUACGCGAGCUGGGUUUAGAACGUCGUGAGACAGUUCGGUCCCUAUCUACCAUGGGCGCUGGAAAUUUGAGAGGAUCUGCUCCUAGUACGAGAGGACCAGAGUGGACGAACCUCUGGUGUUCCGGUUGUCACGCCAGUGGCACAGCCGGGUAGCUAUGUUCGGAAGGGAUAAGUGCUGAAAGCAUCUAAGUACGAAGCCCACCUCAAGAUUAGAUUUCCCUUAGACUUUAUGUCUACUAAAGAGCCGUUCGAGACUAGGACGUUGAUAGGUUGGGUGUGGAAGCGCAGUGAUGUGUGAAGCUAACCAAUACUAAUUGCUCGUGAGGCUUGACUAUACAACACCUAAAACGUU